rnacentral:tmRNA from 1 species
AAAGGGCUCGACUUAGGUAAGCCGGGUAAAAGUAGCAUGCCGCGGAGGCAAGGUUGGCCGCGUUAACAAUCCUUGCAAAAUAUAAACGCAAGCAUACCAAUGUUGAACCGUUUACCAGCAGCGCAGCCAGCAAUGGUUGCUAUGCCGGGAAUGGGCGUACCAGUCUUCGCUAACUAAUUUAGCGAAGCCUCUAUUCAUCUUGCCUGUGGGAUGAAAUAGAGCGUUAACAGGCUGGCUUGGGUUAAUUAGCCUUUAUGGCUCAGGCGAGAUAAAUUAAAAGGCUGCGGUUUAUCCGAUCCUGUUUAGCGGAGCGGAUAAACUCAAGAAUAAAAGAUAAACUAAGCAUGUAGCGGCUUUUACUCAGUUACUUAAGGACGGCGGUUCGAUUCA